AUGAUAGGUCUCAUUUGGAAUAUUAGAGGAUUAAGUAAGCCUGGUAAAGUUCAGUGCCUUUGUGAUGUGAUUGCUAAAACUAAUCCUGAUUUUAUUGGUUUUCAAGAAACAAAGAAACAAGUUAUUUCUGAGGGUUUCCUUAGAGCCUUGGAUGGUAAGAAGCUGUUUAGCUGGCAUUUUCUUCCUGCUAUAGGGACUGCUGGAGGUAUUUUAGUUGGCCUGAAAAAUGACUUAUUUGAUGUGAUUGGGUUUACCAACAAUAGAUUUUCUGUUAGGGCCACUAUUAAAAACAAAUGUGAUGGUUUCUUGUGGCAUUUGGUCAUAGUCUAUGGCUCUGCCUACCCUGAGUUCAAAAUGGAUUUUGUCUCUGAGCUUCAUGAUAUCUUUGAUUCCAGUACCUAUCCUGUUUUGAUUUGUGGUGAUUUCAAUUUAGUGAGAGAGAGUAAAGAGAAGAGCAAUGGUCUUGUAGACCAACAAAGUUCUUUGUUGUUCAAUGAUUGGGUUAAUAGGUGGGGUCUUAUGGAAAUUUCUAUUUCUUCCAACUCUCUUCAUUUGGAUGAUGUCUUAUACUGGGGGGAGUAG
rnacentral:rRNA from 1 species